AUACGUAGGGGGCGAGCGUUGUCCGGACUGAUUGGGCGUAAAGGGCGCGUAGGCGGCGCGGUAAGCCUGGAGUGAAAGUCUGCUUUCAAGGUGGGAAUUGCUUUGGAUACUGCCGCGCUUGAGUGCAGGAGAGGUCAUCGGAAUUCCCGGUGUAGCGGUGAAAUGCGUAGAGAUCGGGAGGAACACCAGUGGCGAAGGCGGGUAACUGGACUGCAACUGACGCUGAGGCGCGAAAGUGUGGGGAGCAAACAGGAUUAGAUACCCUGGUAGUCCACACUGUAAACGAUGAAUGCUAGGUGUAAGAGGUAUCGACCCCUUUUGUGCCGGAGUCAACACAAUAAGCAUUCCGCCUGGGGAGUACGGCCGCAAGGUUGAAACUCAAAUGAAUUGACGGGG
rnacentral:rRNA from 1 species